GAUGAACGCUGGCGGCGUGCCUAAUACAUGCAAGUCGAGCGAACGGACGAGAAGCUUGCUUCUCUGAUGUUAGCGGCGGACGGGUGAGUAACACGUGGAUAACCUACCUAUAAGACUGGGAUAACUUCGGGAAACCGGAGCUAAUACCGGAUAAUAUUUUGAACCGCAAGGUUCAAAAGUGAAAGACGGUCUUGCUGUCACUUAUAGAUGGUUCCGCGCUGCAUUAGCUAGUUGGUAAGGUAACGGCUUACCAAGGCAACGAUGCGUAGCCGACCUGAGAGGAUGAUCGGCCACACUGGAACUGAGACACGGUCCAGACUCCUACGGGAGGCAGCAGUAGGGAAUCUUCGGCAAUGGGCGAAAGCCUGACGGAGCAACGCCGCGUGAGUGAUGAAGGUCUUCGGAUCGUAAAGCUCUGUUAUUGGGGAAGAACAUAUGUGUAAGUAACUGUGCACAUCUUGACGGUACCUAAUCAGAAAGCAACGGCUAACUACGUG
rnacentral:rRNA from 1 species